ensembl:snRNA U6 U6 spliceosomal RNA
GUGCUCGCUUUGGCAGCACAUGUACUAAAAUUGGAACGAUACAGAGAAGAUUAGCAUGGCCCUUGUGCAAGGAUGACAUGCAAAUUCGGGAAGAGUUCAAGGCCCGC